UACAGAGGUGGCAAGCGUUGUUCGGAAUUACUGGGCGUAAAGGGCGCGUAGGCGGCCUUUCAAGUCAGACGUGAAAUCCCCCGGCUUAACCUGGGAACUGCGUCUGAUACUGGGAGGCUCGAGUAUGGGAGAGGGAUGUAGAAUUCCAGGUGUAGCGGUGAAAUGCGUAGAUAUCUGGAGGAAUACCGGUGGCGAAGGCGGCAUCCUGGACCAUAACUGACGCUGAGGCGCGAAAGCUAGGGGAGCAAACGGG
rnacentral:rRNA from 1 species